rnacentral:rRNA from 1 species
ACGAACGCUGGCGGCGCGUCUUAAGCAUGCAAGUCGAACGGCAAGAGAGGAGCUUGCUUCUCUCCUAGAGUGGCGGACUGGUGAGGAACACGUGGGGAAUCUACCCUUAAGAUGGGGAUAGCUGCUAGAAAUAGCAGGUAAUACCGAAUACACUCGGCAUAUCACAAGAGGUGUUGAGGAAAGGAAGCUACGGCUUCGCUUGAGGAUGAGCUUGCGUCCCAUUAGCUAGUUGGUGAGGUAAAGGCCCACCAAGGCGACGAUGGGUAUCCGGCCUGAGAGGGUGAACGGACACAUUGGGACUGAGAUACGGCCCAAACUCCUACGGGAGGCAGCAGCUAAGAAUAUUCCGCAAUGGACGGAAGUCUGACGGAGCGACGCCGCGUGGAUGAAGAAGGCUGAAAAGUUGUAAAAUCCUUUUGUUGAUGAAGAAUAAGGGUGAGAGGGAAUGCUCAUCUGAUGACGGUAAUCGACGAAUAAGCCCCGGCUAAUUACGUG